CAAUCCGUUGCACUAUCGUUAACUGAAUACAUAGGUUAACGAGGCGAACCGGGGGAACUGAAACAUCUAAGUACCCCGAGGAAAAGAAAUCAACCGAGAUUCCCCCAGUAGCGGCGAGCGAACGGGGAGCAGCCCGGAGUCUGAAUCAGCUUGUGUGUUAGUGGAACGGUCUGGAAAGUCCGACGGUACAGGGUGAUAGUCCCGUACACGAAAGCACACAUGCUGUGAACUCGAAGAGUAGGGCGGGACACGUGGUAUCCUGUCUGAAUAUGGGGGGACCAUCCUCCAAGGCUAAAUACUCCUGACUGACCGAUAGUGAACCAGUACCGUGAGGGAAAGGCGAAAAGAACCCCGGCGAGGGGAGUGAAAAAGAACCUGAAACCGUGUACGUACAAGCAGUGGGAGCCUCUUUAUGGGGUGACUGCGUACCUUUUGUAUAAUGGGUCAGCGACUUAUAUUCUGUAGCAAGGUUAACCGUAUAGGGGAGCCGAAGGGAAACCGAGUCUUAACUGGGCGUUAAGUUGCAGGGUAUAGACCCGAAACCCGGUGAUCUAGCCAUGGGCAGGUUGAAGGUUGGGUAACACUAACUGGAGGACCGAACCGACUAAUGUUGAAAAAUUAGCGGAUGACCUGUGGCUGGGGGUGAAAGGCCAAUCAAACCGGGAGAUAGCUGGUUCUCCCCGAAAGCUAUUUAGGUAGCGCCUCGUGAAUUCAUCUUCGGGGGUAGAGCACUGUUUCGGCUAGGGGGCCAUCCCGGCUUACCAACCCGAUGCAAACUACGAAUACCGAAGAAUGUUAUCACGGGAGACACACGGCGGGUGCUAACGUCCGUCGUGAAGAGGGAAACAACCCAGACCGCCAGCUAAGGUCCCAAAGUCAUGGUUAAGUGGGAAACGAUGUGGGAAGGCACAGACAGCCAGGAUGUUGGCUUAGAAGCAGCCAUCAUUUAAAGAAAGCGUAAUAGCUCACUGGUCGAGUCGGCCUGCGCGGAAGAUGUAACGGGGCUAAACCAUGCACCGAAGCUGCGGCAGCGACACUUAUGUGUUGUUGGGUAGGGGAGCGUUCUGUAAGCCGUUGAAGGUGUGCUGUGAGGCAUGCUGGAGGUAUCAGAAGUGCGAAUGCUGACAUAAGUAACGAUAAAGCGGGUGAAAAGCCCGCUCGCCGGAAGACCAAGGGUUCCUGUCCAACGUUAAUCGGGGCAGGGUGAGUCGACCCCUAAGGCGAGGCCGAAAGGCGUAGUCGAUGGGAAACAGGUUAAUAUUCCUGUACUUGGUGUUACUGCGAAGGGGGGACGGAGAAGGCUAUGUCAGCCGGGCGACGGUUGUCCCGGUUUAAGCAUGUAGGCGGAGGUUCCAGGUAAAUCCGGUACCUUAUUAACGCUGAGGUGUGAUGACGAGGCACUACGGUGCUGAAGUGAUAAAUGCCCUGCUUCCAGGAAAAGCCUCUAAGCAUCAGGUAACACGAAAUCGUACCCCAAACCGACACAGGUGGUCAGGUAGAGAAUACCAAGGCGCUUGAGAGAACUCGGGUGAAGGAACUAGGCAAAAUGGUGCCGUAACUUCGGGAGAAGGCACGCUGAUGUGUAGGUGAAGCCCCUGCGGGUGGAGCUGAAAUCAGUCGAAGAUACCAGCUGGCUGCAACUGUUUAUUAAAAACACAGCACUGUGCAAACACGAAAGUGGACGUAUACGGUGUGACGCCUGCCCGGUGCCGGAAGGUUAAUUGAUGGGGUUAGCGGCAACGCGAAGCUCUUGAUCGAAGCCCCGGUAAACGGCGGCCGUAACUAUAACGGUCCUAAGGUAGCGAAAUUCCUUGUCGGGUAAGUUCCGACCUGCACGAAUGGCGUAAUGAUGGCCAGGCUGUCUCCACCCGAGACUCAGUGAAAUUGAACUCGCUGUGAAGAUGCAGUGUACCCGCGGCAAGACGGAAAGACCCCGUGAACCUUUACUAUAGCUUGACACUGAACACUGGUCCUUGAUGUGUAGGAUAGGUGGGAGGCUUUGAAGCGUGGACGCCAGUCUGCGUGGAGCCGACCUUGAAAUACCACCCUUUAAUGGCUGGUGUUCUAACGUAGACCCGUAAUCCGGGUUGCGGACAGUGUCUGGUGGGUAGUUUGACUGGGGCGGUCUCCUCCCAAAGAGUAACGGAGGAGCACGAAGGUUGGCUAAUCCUGGUCGGACAUCAGGAGGUUAGUGCAAUGGCAUAAGCCAGCUUGACUGCGAGCGUGACGGCGCGAGCAGGUGCGAAAGCAGGUCAUAGUGAUCCGGUGGUUCUGAAUGGAAGGGCCAUCGCUCAACGGAUAAAAGGUACUCCGGGGAUAACAGGCUGAUACCGCCCAAGAGUUCAUAUCGACGGCGGUGUUUGGCACCUCGAUGUCGGCUCAUCACAUCCUGGGGCUGAAGUAGGUCCCAAGGGUAUGGCUGUUCGCCAUUUAAAGUGGUACGCGAGCUGGGUUUAGAACGUCGUGAGACAGUUCGGUCCCUAUCUGCCGUGGGCGCUGGAGAAUUGAGGGGGGCUGCUCCUAGUACGAGAGGACCGGAGUGGACGCAUCACUGGUGUUCGGGUUGUCAUGCCAAUGGCACUGCCCGGUAGCUAAAUGCGGAAGAGAUAAGUGCUGAAAGCAUCUAAGCACGAAACUUGCCCCGAGAUGAGUUCUCCCUGAGACUUUAAGUCUCCUGAAGGAACGUUGAAGACGACGACGUUGAUAGGUCGGGUGUGUAAGCGCAGCGAUGCGUUGAGCUAACCGAUACUAAUGAACCGUGAGGCUUAACCUUACAACGCCGAAGGUGUUU
rnacentral:rRNA from 1 species